UACGUAGGGCGCAAGCGUUAUCCGGAAUUAUUGGGCGUAAAGAGCUCGUAGGCGGCUUGUUGCGUCGGCUGUGAAAUCCCAUGGCUCAACUGUGGGCUUGCAGCCGAUACGGGCGGGCUAGAGUUCGGUAGGGGAGACUGGAAUUCCUGGUGUAGCGGUGAAAUGCGCAGAUAUCAGGAGGAACACCGGUGGCGAAGGCGGGACUCUGGGCCGAUACUGACGCUGAGGAGCGAAAGCGUGGGGAGCGAACAGG
rnacentral:rRNA from 1 species